GGGGAUUUAGCUCAAUGGUAGAGUGCUUGCCUAGGAAGCGCAAGGCCCUGGGUUCAGUCCCCA
rnacentral:tRNA from 1 species